GGAAGUGGGCGCUCAGAGCUCGGGGGCGGCGCUCAGUUAUCCAGCCAAAAUCUAGUACUUUGCUAUUCAAAAGUGUCUGGGGACCAGCAGCAUCAGCAUCUCAGGUCCUGCCCCAGGCUAUUGAAUUAGAGCCUGCAUUUGACAAAACCACCCACCCCCAGAAAACAUCUGGAGAAAAUGACCCAUUGGUUUCAUAGGAACCCAUUAAAAGCCACAGCUCCUGUGUCUUUUAAUUACUAUGGUGUAGUCACUGGCCCUUCUGCUUCAAAAAUAUGCAAGCACCUACCAAAUUCUGGAUAUACAGCCUCUACUCUCUUGGUGCUUACCAUUUAAAUUUAGUCUUUCUUAAAUGGUUUACACAUAUUUCAAGGGUCUUUGGUCAUACCCAUGUAUUGUAGUUUCGGAAGCCUCACUAAGCUAAUUGCCUUCUGGAUUCGAUUUGGAACUGGGAUAGAACCAAGUGAAAGCUAAUGAUGGAAAUCUAGGAAUUGAUACAGUUGAAGCUAUACUAAUAGUGACUUGAGGUCAUCCAGGGCACGACUCCUUGAACUGUUCACUGAUUUGAGCUGUAAUCCAGAAAUGAUGAAGAAUGCAGCAGAUUCAUAUUUCUCACUUUUACAAGGUUUCAUAAAUUCUUUGGAUGAAUCUACCCAAGAAAGCAAGUUACGAUAUA
rnacentral:sRNA from 1 species